rnacentral:tRNA from 1 species
AUAGGUAUAGCCAAGUGGUAAGGCGUCAGACUUUGACUCUGAUAUACGUAGGUUCGAUCCCUGCUACCUUAA